GACGAACGCUGGCGGCGUGCUUAAUACAUGCAAGUCGAACGGAAAGGCCCUGCUUUUGUGGCGUGCUCGUGUGGCGAAGGGGUGAGUAACACGUGAGGAUCACGCCCCUGACAUUGGGGUAACAUUACGAAACUGCGGCUAAUACCGGAGAGGAGCUUCUGCUGCACGUUGUGGGUAGGAAAGUUUCGGCGGUUGGGGAUGGUCUCGCGGCUUAUCCGCUUGUUGGUGGAGUAGUUGAUGACCAAGGCUUUGACGGGUAGCCUGCCUGAGAGGUCGGCCGGCCACAUUGGGACUGAGGUAGGGACCAGUCUCCUACGGGAGGCAGCAGUCGAAAGUCUUACGCAAUGGGGGGAAGCCAGAUACAAAGACGCCGCGAGCGUGAUGACGGCCUACGGGUUGUAAACCGCUUUCGCAUGUAACGAAGCGUGAGUGACGGUAAUGGGUAAGGAAGCACCGGCUAACUACGUG
rnacentral:rRNA from 1 species